rnacentral:misc_RNA from 1 species
CUGCUUUAACAUGGUACAAGGUAACAUCUGAAGAUGGAUCAUAUGUAUAUGAGAAUCAAUAAAGAACCAUAGACCAUUACUUCUUGGAUUUCAAAUUCCGAUUUAUAAUUUGAUAUUGCAGGCAUACUUGGAUGCUCCUGAAGGAGACGAUCCUGUUGCUGUUACCAUGACUGGUAUGGGAAAAGGCAUGCUUUGGAUCAAUGGCAAUAACAUUGGACGCUACUGGAUGUCUUACCUCUCCCCUCUUGGAAAGCCUUCCCAAUCCGAGUACCACAUCCCAAGAGCAUACCUGAGAUCAAGUAAUAAUCUAAUGGUUAUACUGGAAGAGGAAAGAGCAAACCCUGAAAAAAUCCAGAUCCUUACUGUUAAUAGAGAUACGAUAUGUAGUCAUAUAGCAGAGAAUGAACCAGCCUCUGUGAGGUCCUGGAGAAGGAAAAAUGGCAACAUCUUACCUGUAGUGGAUAAUGUGCAACCAGCAGCUCAGUUAAUGUGUCCUAAUCACAAAAAGAUUAUUGCGGUGGAUUUUGCAAGUUUUGGCAAUCCUGAGGGUGUUUGUGGAGGAUAUGUUCUUGGAAAAUGCAGUUCUUCUAAUUCAAAGAAGGUUGUUGAACAGCAUUGCUUGGGAAAGACCAGAUGUAGUGUUCCCAUUGACAAAAAACUUUUUGGCACGAAGCAAGGUGAUGAGUGUGAAGAUAUCAGACAAGCAUUAGCAGUUCAAGUAAAGUGCGGCAAGCAUUAGAGAUUAAAAGAUAGGUCUGAUGUUUUUGUAGGUUGAAUUGUAGAAAGACCAAGUAGACGUAUAGAACUUGAACUUCACUAGAGUAGAUGUUUAAAAUUUUUUGUUGCUUUGAGCUUUCUUUCCAUUGUUGGAAUUUACUUUUGGUACAGA